AUGGUGCGGGCGCUUCUUGGCGAAGGAGAGGAGGCCGCCUUUGGCCGGGAGCGUGGCCGCCUUCUUGGCGCGGAUGUGGUCGCACACGGCGGCCGCGCACACCGUCCACACCCGGACGUGGUGGUCGCGGCUGUGGGAGGUGACGAGCGUCCCGCCGCACGCCGCGAGGGCCGGGACGCGGCCGCGGCCCACGUCGAGGUACCCGCGGUUGAAGCACCCGGGCGCCGCCCACGCGCGGACGCGGCCGCUGUCGGACGCCGUGAACAGCACCCCUCUCGCCACGGCGAGCGCGUGCACGUCGCCGUCCAGCCGGUGCAGCGCCGCGAGGCAGUGGUAGAUCGCGGCGGGCGACGGCGGGAACCGCAGCCUGCUGUGCAGCGGCGACUGCACCCACGGCGAGCACCCGCCUCCCACGCCUCCGACUCCCAUCAUCGCCGGCAAUUCCGCGACAGGCACGGACGACAUGCUCAUCCGCGCCGGCUCCGCCGCCUCGCGCGCCGGGGACCGCCCCCCUCCUCCGCCACCUCCUCCCCCGCGCGCAUAGUGGUGCACGGGCGUCUGCGCCGCCGCCGGCCGCGCCUUCCGGUCCUCCUCGAAGAAGCUAAAGCUCUUGCGCCGCCCAAAAUCCAUCACCGCCCUCUAUCUCCAGCAAGCCACUCCCCCAAGAAGUCCACUCUCUACUCCCCACGACACGGUCGAAUUGAACUCACCAGCCUAGCACCUGCUGUAGUAUCGACCGCAAUGCCGUCGCGCUACCUCGUCGACGCUGCUGCUGCCCUACCCACCACCACCACCGCUACGCUACGCACAGCCUCGCCACCUUUAUGCGUAUCGGCACGUACGUAUAAACCCGAUAGCGAUCCGCGCGCGCGUAUGAAAAAUCGGUGGAUGGAUGGCGCGCGCGCGCGGGCGCCCGCUCGUAAGUACCUGCGCCGGUACCACGGCCGCGGCACCAUAAACGCGGGGGAGGGAGCGCGCCGGAGUUAA
rnacentral:rRNA from 1 species